UCGAGUGGCGGGGAUGCUGCGCGCCGCGCUGGGGAGAAGGAGCUGGGGCUGCGGAGGGCUCUGGAGGAGCCCGUGUCCCGCAGCUGCCGGAGGCAGCGCCAGAGCUCUGAGCGCUGCCUCUGCCUCCCCUUUCCCGGGCAGCGGCGGCGGGGCGCGGAACGGAGGCGCUCCCCCGGCAGGUGCUAGUAAUGUAAAGCCAUUGGAUGGUGUGAAAAUUCUUGAUUUAACAAGGGUUCUUGCAGGACCAUUUGCCACAAUGAAUUUGGGAGAUCUAGGGGCUGAAGUUAUCAAAGUGGAAAGACCAGGGGCUGGUGAUGACACAAGAGCCUGGGGUCCACCUUUUGCUGGGACAGAAAGCAUUUAUUUUCUCAGUGUCAAUAGAAAUAAAAAGAGUAUAGCUAUCAACAUGAAGGAUUCAAAAGGAGUAAAGCUAAUCCAAGAGCUUGCAGCAGCAUCUGAUGUUUUUGUGGAAAACUUUGUCCCUGGGAAGCUGGCUGAAAUGGGUCUAGGUUAUGAAGAUAUUAAAAAGAUUGCUCCUCACAUAGUGUACUGUUCAAUAACAGGUUAUGGUCAGACUGGUCCAGUGGUUCAGAGAGGUGGAUAUGACUCCAUUGCUGCUGCUGUUUCUGGUCUCAUGCAUAUCACAGGGCACGAGGAUGGUGAGCCAGUUAGACCAGGAGUAGCAAUGACAGACCUUGCUACUGGGUUGUUUACAUAUGGAGCAAUUAUGGCUGGUUUACUUCAGAGGUAUAAGACGGGAAAAGGACUACACAUUGACUGCAAUCUCUUGUCAACUCAGGUUGCAUGUCUCACUCAUGUAGCAGCUAAUUACCUUAAUUGCAAAAUUGAAGCGAAACGCUGGGGUACUGCUCAUGGGAGUAUUGUUCCAUAUCAGUCAAAUUAUGCAAGAUUAUGGCAUCUGUUUGGACCCUGCACACGGUCAAACAACAUUAAUGGAACCAAGCAGAAGCCAAGCAAGGCAUUUAAGACCAAGGAUGGCUACAUCGUGGUGGGAGCUGGAAAUGAUCACCAGUUUGUCACUGUGUGCAAGAUCCUGAAUUUGCCUGAAGUUAGUAAAGAUUCCAGAUACAAAACUAAUACACUCAGAGUCCAGAACAGAAAAGAACUCAUUGACAUAUUAUCAAAACGGUUUUCAGAAAAAGCGACGACUGAGUGGUUGCAGCUCUUUGAAGGGAGCGGGGUUCCAUAUGGCCCAAUCAACAACAUGCAGCAAGUGUUCUCAGAUCCUCAGGUGCCAAGUAUAUAAAUGCAGCUACAGCCCUUUUUCCUGAGGUACUGCACAAUGGACUUGUGAUGGAAAUGAAUCAUCCAACAGCUGGGAAGAUAGCUGUUCCAGGACCAGGUGUCAGAUACAGUGAAUUUUCUGUGUCACAUCCAAAACCACCUCCACUUGUUGGACAACACACAGUGGAGAUACUGAAGAGCAUGCUGGGGUAUGAGGAUGACGCUAUAGAAGAACUGCUUCGCACUGGUGCUGUGGCUCAGCAUGAGGUCAGAUAAGGAACAUUAGCUACAUUCCUUCACGCUGAGUUCACAUUACUUUGUCCUCUCUUUGCUCCCUUCAGUUUCCCUAAUGGGACUCAAACAGAAGACAUAAUUUAAUUCCUAAUUUUCUUCCACGUGUGUUUGUAUGAUUUUAACACUGAUGUAUCAAAUAAACAAUCUCAUUCUGUCUGA